rnacentral:misc_RNA from 1 species
CUGAAUGGGAAAAUGAAUUUCCAGCUUCUGUUCUGAAGGCUGUGCUUAAGUAUGGGAAGAAACCAUAUGAAGUAGAUGAGAAUAGGCGUGACACCUAUAAGCGUCCCGGCUUCCGCACAUGGGCCGUCCUCCCUGAAUCUUUUUGGACAAAUGAAGCAACUGAUGGUGGUAGGUUUAAACGCAGAGCAUGGUUAUGCAAGAAGUCUAGCUCGUUUUGCUGCAGAUGUUGGCCCCAUUGCAUGGAAAAUUGCUUCAAAGAAAAUUGAAAGUGUGUUGCCAACAGGACUUGAGUUUGGUCCUGGGUGGGUAGGCGAAGAUAAGGUGGUUGAGGGACAGCAGCAGCUUUUAUUUUCUGAUAGGCGUAAAGUUUCAAACAGUUGGGUUGCUACUGAAAAUUUAGGCAGACUUCAAUCUUCAACUGCUAGUGGAACAAAUUCUGGUGCAAAUUCUUUAGUUGCAAGUAGAUGUACAGCAUGGAGUGGAGAAGACAUGGUAGAAAAUGUUGGUGGAUUGAGUUCCCAAAGCGAGUUAAAUUCACUACACAGUGUUAUUGGUGGGAUAAACCCCAUGUCGUCUGUUAUGGUUCAGCAAAAACCUGUGCUUCACUCUGAUGUAAAUGGUUUUAGUGGUGGAUUUGGGCAUAAUAAAUUUUCACCUCUGAUGGGGACAGCAAGACUUGGGAUAGCAACAGGAAACUCCAGUUCAGAGCAGACAGCAGUUCCUUCCCAAGCAUUUGGCAUGGUUUCUACUAGUAAUGCCAGUUUCUGCCCAAUGGUAGGGAAUGAUUUUAAGUUGAACAAAGCCAAGUUGGCAGAAACAUCGAGUGUAGUACAACAGUCUGGAAAAUCAUCAGCUCUAGGUCCUAACCCUGACUCACAGACAACAUUCAAUGCAGGGAUUGGUGGAAAAUCAUCCCAGCAGGGAUUAUCACCGUACACUCAACAACAUUUCUUUGAAUUUCCACCGGACCUGAAUGUUGGAUUCUUGGCCCCAAAUUCGCCUAGUUCCAGUGUGCCAAUUGGUUCACCACAGCAGCCAGAUUUAGCAUUACAGCUGUGAGGGUGGGUAAUUCAUCUUCCUUUACCCAAGCAUGAUGGAUGGUGGAUUGUUAGAUAUGAACAUUUGUCCAGCAAAAGGAAUAAUAAUAGAGAUGCAAUCUUAUGGAUUGCUUGGUAUUGCCAUGAUGAUUCAUAACCUGAUAAAUUGU